rnacentral:lncRNA from 1 species
AAUCACAGGUCUAACAUGAAAUGAUUGUAAGUUUACCUUUGUCUAGUUGCAUAAUUGUUUAUGUGUUAGCUUUUUAUCAGAUUUGUUGCAUUAAUCUUCAAGAGUAAUUAGGUUGAAGAUAAAGAUUCAUUAGACAUGUAUGUAAGAGGGUUGAAAGGUAGUAAAAUUGGUUUUUUUUACCUGCUGGACAAGUUCUUGAGGUGCACUCAAAGCAUUGGCAGGUUGCUCUGUGUCCCUCAUCUCAAGACAUGUAAAAUUCAAAAUACCAUAAUGCCUCGAUAGCAUCCUUGCAAUGGGUCGGUACCCAUCUCUUCCAGAUAAGUUGUAAUAUCCUGCAGUAAGCUCUGCAGCGUGACUAGCAUCAUUGUACAGCCAAUGUAUUCCAGAUACCUGUUUUGACAAUAGAUUUGAUAUCAUUAUCGGUUUCAGUAAUUAGUGAGGAAGGAAAUAUGGUUAUGCGAUAUACUUUAGCUGCUAAUUUGACUUUACAUCCCAGAAAAGCUUGAUUGGCUUCAUCCAGGAUCUCAUCUCCAUGGAUCAGCAACUUGUUAGAGUACCAAGUCAAGAAGAACUUUCCUGCUUCAGUAGUGUAUGUCCCGUAUGAUUUAAAGAACCCUGUAUCUGCAGGCGUAUCAUUGAAUGUCCCUGCAUCAUCAGGCAAUUCAUAUUCAGGAUGGCCUGCAUUUGUUGCUGCCGCUUUGAAAUCUGCUUUGAGAUACUUGUCAUAGCACUACAGACAAAUGCGAGGUAAUGUGUGUUAGAAAAGGAGGAUGAAGGCUUAAAAUAAAAUUUUAUAGUUUGUGUGAUUGCUGAAACGUACAAUAAAUUCCCCAAUGCCUGGAAAAACCCAGCCUUGAGUUUGUGGAUAAGAGGGGUAUCUUAGCUCUCCUGCUGGACCAAGCCCUACUUCGAUAUCUAUGAUCACCCCAGCUUUUAAAAAGUCUGACAUGUUCUCCCUGAAGCUCUUCAUGUAAUCAGUAUACAUCUAGAUAGAUCAAGAAAUAUUAUUUCACCAUCUAGGAAGCAAAAUCACUAAAUUAUUCAGAUCGAACUUAUAUACAUCUAUGUGCAAUGCCACUGUUUUCAUAUAUUGAUUAUAGCUUGAAGAUCAGGUUGGCAAAAAUGUGGUCAUUCAACUUACUUCGAUCGAAGUUCGUCCGUGAAACAGAGGCUGGUGAUCUACCCCAAUACUGAGGUACUCUUCGUUUCUUUCGCCUUCUUUACUUGUGUAAAAGAUAUCAGGGUCUGAUUCUCCAACAUCUCGCACCCACUGGGGGAUCGGGAUGUUAACAACAUCUCCUACAUUGCCACCGCAUUGGUGGAAUGACAUUAUGGCUUGUAUUUUCAGUUCAAUUUGUUGAAUGAGUUCAAACAAGCUCCUGUAAGCACUCCAGUCAUACUGCUUAGGGCCCUUAGACUCUAUGAUCCCCCACCACACAUCCACCAUUACACCAUCGACACCGGUUGCUUUGAGCUCCUUGAGCUGCUUCUUCAGCUCAUCUUUACCUUCGAAAACAUUAUCAGCUGUAACAACUCCCAACUGUUACAUUGCAGAAAAGGUUAGUGAGUUUAAUAUGCUUAUUAUUGAUCUUAGUGUGCAAAUCCUGAACAAGUAAAUGAAAGAAAUGGUUUAUGUGACUUACUGGGAGCAUUACGUAAAUGGGCACAUAAUUUGCCAGCAUGUUCUCAUCGUAAGCUUUAGAACCCUGCAUUUUCUUCAGGUUACAGAAGACUGGUAUAAGAACAAUGGAAAUUGCUUUGAAGGUGUGAUGAAAAUUGCUGUGGAAUCCUGCUCUUUUUAUAGCUAGAACAAAGGUGAAAAUUUGGUCUUUGCAUGAAAUGGAGUGCAUUAUGUCUACUGUACGUCGGACCCACUUGUUUAGAUAACACUUUGCCUGAGAUAAGAACCCAUGGCGUUAUCUUUGCAUGCAUAGUUUCUACUGGACCACAGAUGAAGGCCACGUUGCCCCAUUCCUUGCUGUGCAGAAAUUGAAGGGAUUUGACAAAUAUUGGGGUCAUUCAGGACCAUCUCAGGUUCCUUGGGCCUGGACUUUGCAGCUAUCAUAUAUUUAGAAGACGACAAAAGUAUUUAUUGGAGGGUCACUACAUAGAUAUAUGCACAUGCACAUUCCAUAUGAUUACUCGUGUACCCUGUGAAUAUCUUUUAUUUCUUUCAACUCUUAUUAUUAUAUCACACAAUUUUAAAAAUCAACUCAAUAUAUUAUAUCUCACCAAACUCGAUACAUGAAUUUAUGCUAUCAUAUUAUAAUCAUUAUAUAUAUUAUUA